rnacentral:rRNA from 1 species
UACGGGGGGGGGCAAGCGUUUGUUCGGAAUUACUGGGCGUAAAGGGCGCGUAGGCGGUCAGACCAAGUCGAGUGUGAAAUUCCAGGGCUUAACUCUGGCACGCUCGCUCGAUACUGGUCGGCUAGAGUGUGGAAGAGGAUGCUGGAAUUCCACGUGUAGCAGUGAAAUGCGUAGAGAUGUGGAGGAACACCGAUGGCGAAGGCAGCCCCCCUGGGUCAACACUGACGCUCAUGCACGAAAGCGUGGGGAGCAAACAGG